UCACACCACUGUACUCCAGCCUGGACCACAGAGCAAGACUGUCUCAAAAAAAAAAAAAAAAGAAAGAAAGAAAGAAAAAGAAAAAAGAAAAUUUAAAUUGUGUUUUCACAUGGAGCCCAUGUUCCCAGAACACAAACCCUGCUCUGUGCUCCAAGGGCACACAGGGUGCCCCUUUACCUUAAUGUUCACCAUAUUCCAUGGCAGCCAUUGGCAUGUGUCUGUCCAUCGCACUAGACUUCCUAUGCGUGAGGCAGGGAUCAUUUAUUAUUACCUGUCUGUCCCCAGUGUCUGGCCUAGAAGACACUCGGUAAAUGAUUCCUGAAUUAAGUCAGAUACUAAAAUAUGUUAAACUUGUAUUAACAAAAUUGAUUUAAUAAGUUUGCCAAUGCAGCGUUCAUACCACACAGCUUAAAUCUCAACCUGCAGACUUAUCUUGUGUUCUGCUAGAUUACCACCUAUUAACAUUCAGGAGGCACCUAGUAUGUGCUAGGCAUUACUAAUUGCUGGAGACCUAGCAGUGACAAAACAACAUUCCUUGUUCAAAGAGAAGUUCUAGUAUAAAGCGGAAUAGAAGGAACAGGCUACAUUGAUGAGAGAGCUAAGAAAAGGACAGGCUGCCAUGGGAAGCACCUGGUCUUGUCUGGAUGGUACACAGUUAACAAAGUCUGAGUGCUUCAUAUAGCAUAAGAUCAUCUCCUCCAAAUCAGUGAAUGAAGCUUUGAUUCCCCAGUACCAGAAGUCACCAUAAAGGUGUGCACAGCCACAUGCUUAGUGCAGGAAGUGAAACCAAACGAACAAACGAAGCUCCAACUUCCAGAGGCAAUGGUCCAAUUAUGAAAUCCUCUGGUUACGUUCAAUUGAAAUUCAAGGUAUUCAAGAGGCCAAUAUUUAAGGCAUAAAUUAACCCAACCACUUAAAACUAAAGUAGUCAAGGGGUAAAGGUAUAGUACCUUUUACAAAUUUAUUAGCUCUUAAUAUUUACAUUUAAAUAUGACGAUGAUGGUGUAAUAACUUUAUUAACUAGUUAUUAUGCGUUAGGCACGAAACUAAGCACUUUACACACACAUUUGCACGAUCCUGUGAGAUGAUAAUGACCCCUUGUCAUCCCAUUUCAUAGAUGAAAGUCAGGUUUAUAUAAGCUUAAAAACUUACCCCAAAUGACACAACUACUUAGCAAAACCCAGGCAGUCUGACUCUAUAGGCCUUGUUUAAAGAAGUAAUAUUUAUAAACUGUCCAGCACAGCAGUGGUACAAACAAGAGUUCAAUCAAUGCCUAAAGAGUACUUCAUACCCAAAAUCGUUUCCCGCCAAUCAAACUAGACUUACUCUGGUUCUGCAUAACCAACUGUCAAAUUAUUGUUCCAUGAAGAAAAGGUGGAAAGGGUGGAGAUCAGAAUAGAGUGAAUAACUGGGAAAUAUACUUGAUGGCAGGUAGUAACAGGAUGUGGCAUUUAGGCUGUUUCCACAUUUGUUUGGGUAACACUUUUUUUUUUCACAGUUCUAAAGCACAAGAGCCAUUCUAAGCUAGUGAAAGCAUAAGGCAUGUCUAUGAUCCAGGACUCCAAUUCACUGUGGAUCAGUGGAUCUCAACCUUUACGGUAUAUCAGAACCACCUGGGGGUUUUUAACAGCACUAGAGCUGCCCAGGCUCCAUUCCUACAGGUUCUAUUUCAACUGGUCAGGAGUAAGCAAGCAUGCUUUUUUCACAGCCAUCCAGAUGCAGCUAGGUUUGCAAACCACUGUCCAAGAUGCUCUCACACUUCCACUCAGAUCAACACACACUCAGUGAGAUUCUAAGCACUAUGAAUCGGGCUAAGUUAGCAAGUCAGGCUCCACUAACUAAUAAUAUUGGCAAAUAAAACAACAUCAGAGAUUUAUUCCAGUCCAAACCAAACAAAUUGCCGGGUGAAAAAAAUGCCCUGGCAUCGUUUGCCAUGCGGAACAGCUUCCUGUAUCUUCCCAGUCAGUAGCCUAGAGACUGACUCUGAGCCAUGAGAAUUCAAAGUCAGAGAAAAAUGCCAGUCUGAGGCAUCUGCCAUACUUCUAGCACACCCCCAAAAGCGCCCAUCCACUGUCCUAACAGGGGUCGAAACAGGGAAGAGCAGUGUAAUACAGAAAACAGAGCCUGCUGGGCAUCAAAAGGCUGGGGAAUUCCAGUCCUAGCCCUGCUAUCAAUCGGUCUGGUCACUUGUCUCUGGUCCUGGUGUGGCCAACAGUUACGCGAGAGGGUGAGGCAUAAAAACACAGAUGUCAGGCAAGCUCCAGCAUCCAAAAUACAUAGAAAUCAAAAAGCAUUAAGGUGAUAUCAAGGAAUGUAUGCCAUCAACCAGAAAAGUAACUGAAGUAUUCUUUUUCCCAUUCAUAAGAAAUCAAAAGUGGAAGCAGAAAAUUGAGCAAACAGCCUACUAAGUUGACUGGGGCAACAGAAUACACUCACGGAUUCUGCUCACAACAGCGGGGGUGACAGACCAAAAGGAGAACUGCAGAGCGUCCCUCUCUCCUCUGUCCACCCAUGACACCAGCACGUGAGUGCGUCCACAUGCAGCUCCCAGUCUCCUGUCCCACUGACGCCAGAGUCCACUCACCGCAAGCCUACUAAGCGCCACAUGUGCUAUGAUGCUCCCUCAUCUCAUCACCAUAGACGUCCCUGCUGGAGACAUGUACAACACAGGUGCCCAGUGGUAUCAUCAGGCAGAACUACGAAUGUGCUUUCCAUCGUCUUCAUACAAUGAUUCCAGAACUGUUAUCCACACAGCUCCACUUCUCACACAUACGACGUACUUCAAGGAUUACACAGCAUGUUCACCAUACCCCUCAUCUGCUCCUCCCAGCAGCCUUGUGUGAUCCCUUGAGUAUGUUUUCUCAUCUCCAUUUCUUAAGAAAUGGAGUUUCUGAGGUUAUGAAAUCAAAACUUUCCCAAGAACAUCCAGCUAGUGUUAGAACCAGGAUAUGAGGGCUUCUGAUUCUAGAACCGGUAUUUGUGCCACUGUUCCACAUGGGCCCCUCCAGGGAUUUCUGGCUGAUCUUAAAAUGCAGACAGCAAAUCCGUCUCUCUAAAGUCCUGGGGUUCCCUAUAGACAAGAAGUCAAACUUCUAACAGAAAGCUUAUACUUAUUUGGAAGGCUACCUGGGAUAUUUCUUUUAAGUUAGUUUGUUCAUGUUCUGGAAAGAUUGCUCCAAUGGCAAUGUGGGGCAUGAAGUGUAGAAAGGAUUCCAUGAUGAGGCAGAGAAACAAUUCGGGGGCUCUUACAACGGUUCAAAUGAGGCAUGAGGCGCAAACAGAAAGGACAGAGGGAAAAUGCAUUGGAAAGAAAUGCAAAAUGAAGUCCACUCAGA